GUCUAUGGCCAUGCCACCCUGAACAAGCCCGAUCCCGACUGAUCUCAGAAGGUAAGCAGGGUCAGGCCUGGUUAGUACUUGGAUGGGAGACCACCUAAGAAGUCCAGGUGCUGUAGGCA
rnacentral:rRNA from 1 species